rnacentral:misc_RNA from 1 species
AACACAUCCUCAAGCAAUUUUGCUUGGUCUUGGAGGACGAUGUAAACAUCUCCUCUCAAAUACCUCAGCGGAAACCUCUGCAGCCUCAGGUGUGAUAAUAGCUUUUCACUUGGUGACUGUGGUUAUGUUCUUGCUGUCAAGAGCCCCCCAGCUACUAUAA